GGCGACCGGGUGCGUAACACGUAGCUGACCUGCCCUCGCGCGGGGGACAACAGACCGAAAGGUCUGCUAAUACCGCAUACAGUCGGGAUAUUUAGAAAAUCUCGACAAAACUUCCGGGGCGCGAGGAGGGGGCUGCGGCCCAUCAGGUAGUUGGGGAGGUAAAAGCUCACCAAGCCAAUGACGGGUAGGGGGCCUGAGAGGGUAACCCCCCACACUGGAACUGACAACGGUCCAGACUCCUACGGGAGGCAGCAGUAAGGGAUAUUGCGCAAUGGGCGAAAGCCUGACGCAGCAACGCCGCGUGGAGGAUGAAGGGCUUCGGCUCGUAAACUUCUUUGGACCCUGACGAGUAAGGACGGUAGGGGUAAAACAAGCCACGGCUAACUACGUGCCAGCCGCCGCGG
rnacentral:rRNA from 1 species